CAAGACUGGAAGUGACAGAUAAGACUGCACACUAUACUUGUAAUUUCCUUAUUUUUAAGUCACUAUUGAUAUGCAGUCUCACCAACUUUUUAUCUUUUUCCUGCCUUUGUGCAUAUUAAAAGAAAAAUGUCUGAAUUUCCGCAGCAACAAUAAUUACCAAGAUAAACCACCCUAGUUUGUAUCUCUUGCCACAAAAUCCUAUUUAACACAUUCACUAAUGUUUUUCAAAUGCUGUCAAGAGCAUCCUUUCCUGUGUAAGUAUCUGUACAAUUAAAUGAAAAAAAAAAGUCAAUAACAGAAUUUUAGUAACAUCUUGUUUACUCUUCCUCACUGGUUAUCUGUUUCAUGUCCUUUGACUGUUUGUUAUCUUUUUCCUGUGGGUUUGAAAGGUUUAUUGAUGGUUUUUAGUGUUGAAACAUUGUAAAAGGACUUUUUUAUUGCCUUAAUGGGUGUUAGGAUGGAACUCCAGUAAGAACUGCCCAGAAUAAUUAAAGGUAAAAACAUUGUUCAUUUAAUUGCUUUUUUUUUCAAUUUUUAGAUAAAUGCUGAGAUGUUCGUGGAUUUAUUAGUCAAAAAAUCUGUAAAAAAUACUGUACUGUGCAAGUUUUCAAGAUGCUUGUGGCUGGAAGAAGUUCAGUUUUCAGUUCAGUGUGAUAAAAAGUCUACCACAGUGUUCAACUGCCUUCAUCGACUGCCUUAUUUUGAAUUAUGAUGGUUUUAAGGGCAGACUGGACUUCUACACAUCACUCAUCAAGAAUCAGAGAUAAAUUUUCCAACCAGGUAUUUUUUGCAUUGUUCUGAAUAUUCUCUAAUCUAGUAUUAUUCUCCUUCUA
rnacentral:lncRNA from 1 species